AUUGAACGCUGGCGGCAGGCCUAACACAUGCAAGUCGGGCGAGUGGCGGACGGGUGAGUAAUGUAUGGGGAUCUGCCUGAUGGAGGGGGAUAACUACUGGAAACGGUAUCUAAUACCGCAUACCCUCAGAUGAACCCAUAUGGGAUGAGCUUGUAGGUAAGUGAACGGCUUACCUAGGCGACGAUCCCUAGCUGGUCUGAGAGGAUGACCGGCCACACUGGAACUGAGACACGGCCCAGACUCCUACGGGAGGCAGCAGUGGGGAAUAUUGCACAAUGGGCGCAAGCCUGAUGCAGCCAUGCCCCGUGUAUGAAGAAGGCCGUCGGGUUGUAAAGUACUUUCAGUCGGGAGGCGUUACCGGCAGAAGAAGCACCGGCUAACUCCGUGCCAGCAGCCGCGGUAAUAC
rnacentral:rRNA from 1 species